rnacentral:snRNA from 1 species
AUUCUAGGCCGAAACCCG